UAUGUACACGACGUCGUUUGAAAACUUUGUUUCCAGUCAAUGUAUGUGUGCAUGUAUUAAAGCGUUUUUCAUUCAAUGUUACAGGAAGCUGUAAGGCGCCUCCACAAUUCGGAAAACAACCCACAAAAAUAUGAUCCACAAACUGGAAUAAGUUCUCCUCGUAACCAAGCAGUCAUGACUUAUCUGCUAGAGGAACUGAGAACAACUUUUGCAGAUGCAGACCCUGAGUGUAUACAAGCGUGUUGCAAGACAUACUUUGAGACACUUCGGAGAAAGUACAAUUAAAACAGGAGCUAAAAACUGACAAAGGAAAAGACGAUUGCUGGAUUCCAGGUCCAAGGUUGUUCAAACAGAUGCAGAGAGAGAGCUUUGGCGGACUGCAACCGUGGAGCUGAUGUCUGAUGAGGAGGAUGCCAUUGUUGAUGGAAGGCCAGUGUGGAUUGUGAGGUCUCCAUCUCACAGGAACCCACAAUUGUCAGAACUUUGU